CACACAUUUCACAUCAAUACACUAUUCGAGAAUGUAUUAUAACCAAAAUAAUGUGGCUCAAACACCCACUAAAAUUAGCCUAGAGAAUCAUCCCAGCCUGCUUUUGAGUUGGCUUGUUUGAAGAGACAUGGUACCAAUAGUGGGGCAGGGAAAACCACACAUAUUCAGGACGUAUUUCGGACCCAUUUGGCAAAGCUUUUAAAAAAUCAAAAGCUGAUUCUAUGAUUACAAGUUUGCAUUUGAACAUGUUUGAACAAUCUUCUAAAAAUGUUUUGUCUAAUUAGAAGAGCUGACAUGAAAUAACUUUCUCAAAAAAUUCUUUUAUAAAAAGCAAAAAACUCUGCCAAAUCAAUCCUUUGUCUUUUACAAGAAGCUGAAGCUAUUCCAAAGAGGCUUCACUUAGUUUUAACUAGAUGACCUUGACUCACGUCCAAGAUAUUAACACAAAAUAACAAAUUUGUAACGGUAAAGAUUAAAAUUUUCGAAAUUUUAUGUUUUCCAAAAGUUCAUGUGGCGGUCUAUAAAAGAAACUUUCAAGUUUUACAACACACUUCACACACUGUUUGUAGAUUGCUUCGCCUUCUUAUUUGGGGUUCCUAGUUCCACAAGCAUGGUCAGCAGGGCUUCACACAUUUCACAGGCAUCCGGUUCAUUAGGGUCCCUCUUCCAAGAUGAGUACACCAUCCACGCAUGAUCAAGUUUCCGGUCAGGUUUAACCACAACUGAACCUGGAACUUCCGCAUCACGGCAUGUCACAAGACCAUCGCUCUUCUCCCCGUAUCUUAGUCGCAGAUGGAAUGCACAGAGCGCCGUGGCAGCA
rnacentral:lncRNA from 1 species